rnacentral:rRNA from 1 species
CGGCGAGUGAAGUGGGAAAAGCUCAACUUUGAAAUCUGGCACCUUCGGUGUCCGAAUUGUAGUCUCAAGAAGUGUUUUCUGUGCUAGUCCAUGUAUGAGUCUGUUGGAACACAGCGUCAUAGAGGGUGACAACCCCGUUCAUGACAUGGAUACUAGUACUCUGUGAUACRCUCUCGAAGAGUCGAGUUGUUUGGGAAUGCAGCUCAAAUUGGGUGGUAAAUUCCAUCUAAAGCUAAAUAUUGGCGAGAGACCGAUAGCAAACAAGUACCGUGAGGGAAAGAUGAAAAGCACUUUGGAAAGAGAGUUAACAGUACGUGAAAUUGUUGAAAGGGAAACGAUUGAAGUCAG